rnacentral:pre_miRNA from 1 species
UCCAUAAAGUAGAAAGCACUACUAAACCAUUCAACCCAGUGUAGUGUUUCCUACUUUAUGGAUG